rnacentral:rRNA from 1 species
AACAAACGCUGGCGGCGUGCCUAACACAUGCAAGUCGUACGAGAAAGGGUCCUUCGGGGCCUGAGUAAAGUGGCGCACGGGUGAGUAACGCGUGGAUAAUCUGCCCUUCAGUUGGGAAUAACUCAUCGAAAGGUGGGCUAAUACCGAAUAAUGCUGUGAGACCUCGGUUGAUCAGCCAAAGAGAGCCUCUGCUUGCAAGCCCUCGCUGAAGGAUGAGUCCGCGUACCAUUAGCUAGUUGGUAGGGUAAUGGCCUACCAAGGCGACGAUGGUUAGCGGGGCUGAGAGGAGGAUCAGCCACACUGGAACUGAGACACGGUCCAGACUCCUACGGGAGGCAGCAGUGAUGAAUCGUGCGCAAUGGGGGCAACCCUGACGCAGCAACGCCGCGUGAGUGAGGAAGGUCUUCGGAUCAUAAAGCUCUGUCGGAUGGAAAGAACCGCAUAGGGGUAAACAGCCCCUGUGUCUGACGGUACCAUCAAAGGAAGCACCGGCUAACUCCGUGCCAGCAGCCGCCGUAAAAC